GCCACUGAUCCAAAAGGGCAGAAGCAACUCGGAAAUGCUGGAGGUUGAUUUGAAUCAUCUUCAGACUCAUAACACUAGACGUGCCUAAGAUGGGCAUAUUUCCAUGUCCCUCUCCAAAAUCUGGGUAUCAGAAGGUCCAUGGGCACUUCCGGAAUUUCGAUCGUUGCUGGAGCCCGACCAGUUCAUGCCCCUUUGGAGGAAUAGUCUCCGAAACUAUUGAUCUCCUUGACUUGGAAUUAGGAUCCGAAAGUAUCUUUAAGGUCCCUUCAUCAAUCCCAGGAAGAGCCUUAAAAUUGUCCACUUUAAUAGCCACUUUUGACAGCAUUAGCCGAAUCUAGAUCGACUAUCAUAAUGAUGCGCUAUCGUUUCGCAUCUUCGCUUCGACCUAGAAUUCUCCAGUUCUCAGUUUUGAGUCCGGGAAUAUAAGUCGUGAGAUGAGACAAAAGUUUGUUUACAUCCUGUGUAUGGACAUCCGCAGUGCGAAAUGCUACUUUCACAGGGUUGGAAGGUCCUUCAUAGGAAAAAUUCUUAAACGAAUUUCCUCCCCAAGAACACCCAUCUAAAAAGUUGGGUAAGCCACUGACAG
rnacentral:lncRNA from 1 species